UCUACCUUCCUUGCUUUCGCCCACGAAAAUCCGACUUUCUGGCCCAAGUAUUCGGCGCACAAGGCAUCGAAUGAACUGAAAAGCGACAUCGACAUAGCUAAUUCAAAGGAUUGAUUGAUUGAUUGAUUGAUCGAUCGAUCAACAGAUACAAAAGUUGAAGAAGAUUCAGAUUGUUGUUGUUUGAAGCUCUGAUGAGAAAGGGGGUAUAUAUAAGGAGGAUUGGGGGGUGAAUUGGAGAAGUGGGUGGAAGUUUCUGGAGAGAGAGAGGGAGAGAGAGAGAUGG